AUGGAUCCUCGCAUAUCAUUUAGCAUCUUCAGGCGUCGCACUCUCUAUCAGCCACAUAUUUAUGAUGUCUUUAGCAUUGCUUUUAGUGAAGUCCUGUGUUUUGUGACUUUUGCCACUAGAAUUGACUCAUUCUUAUGCAAGUCCACUUCUUUGGACAAUAGAAGUGCAUUCUGUUGUAUGCUCAAUUCUUUGAUGUGAACUGCUUGUUGGCAUCCAAGCAUUUUAAUUUUUUACAUUCUUGCUCAGUUACUCGCAAUUUCGUCCAAUUUCCAUCUAAAUUUCUCAUCUUGAGGUAUUAUAAUUUGCAUAUUUUCCUAUGUGUAGAUUGUUCUUUUGCUGCAUUGAGGAAGGAAAUUCUUUCCUGCUGAGGCUUCUAUUUUUUUGUUCCUGUGUAAAGCGAUUGAUGCUGGCGUGACUGCAGCAAACAAGGCCAUUCUAUUUUUUAGCAGAUGAAUAUAUGGAGAUUAGAUGCAGCGAUUAAACAUACAAGUGAUCCUUUAUGUCAGCUGCAGGCAAUCUGAGGAUUUUAAAAUGAUCAGAGUUGGGCCAUUUGGUGUAUUAUAAGAUAUUUAGAAGACUUGACCUUUGUGUUUCCAAAAGAUCUGCACUUGGAAAGUUGUGGACACUAAUUCUCUGUGCAGGUAUCAUCUUUCCAAGUCAAGCAGGUCAAGCAAGUACAGUAUCAACAGGUAAUCGGGUGGGAUGCUCAUCCUGUGAAGCUUGUGCUUUCUCUCUUGUUGAUGCCUAAAUGUCUAGAAAUGUUCCAGCAAAUGUCCCUUGGCAUCAACAAGAAAUCCAAAGAACAAACAUGCCGAAUUGAAACAGAGGACUUUGGUUAGAUUCCCACAUGCACUGUCGAUGGAGGUAGCACUACAUGGGGCCGAAGAAGAAAGAGAAAGGCGUGGAUCACACGGUUGCUGGAAACUGAUUCCUUCUUGAAAGGGUUCUUCUUGUUAAGUGGAUCUGCAGAGACAAGGAAGCCCACUGCCUCCUAUUCGAUCUUAUACACUGUUCACAUGCAUCCGCAGCACAUCUGCGUGACACAAUCUGCUCCAGCAAAUCUUGACUGCUACCCGUCACCAAGAUGUGCAUUUACUUGUUACCAAGAUGAACAGUUCGACAAGUGCAACGAUCACCAAUUCAAAUCUGUAUGUCUUUGCAAACUGUGAUCCCACUUAUUUUUGGCUGC